rnacentral:rRNA from 1 species
ACUUGAAUUGAAGAGUUUGAUCAUGGCUCAGAUUGAACGCUGGCGGCAGGCUUAACACAUGCAAGUCGAACGGUAGCAGGAGAAAGCUUGCUUUCUUGCUGACGAGUGGCGGACGGGUGAGUAAUGCUUGGGAAUCUGGCUUAUGGAGGGGGAUAACGACGGGAAACUGUCGCUAAUACCGCGUAUUAUCGAAAGAUGAAAGUGCGGGACUGAGAGGCCGCAUGCCAUAGGAUGAGCCCAAGUGGGAUUAGGUAGUUGGUGGGGUAAAGGCCUACCAAGCCUGCGAUCUCUAGCUGGUCUGAGAGGAUGACCAGCCACACUGGAACUGAGACACGGUCCAGACUCCUACGGGAGGCAGCAGUGGGGAAUAUUGCGCAAUGGGGGGAACCCUGACGCAGCCAUGCCGCGUGAAUGAAGAAGGCCUUAGGGUUGUAAAGUUCUUUCGGUAUUGAGGAAGGUUGAUGUGUUAAUAGCACAUCAAAUUGACGUUAAAUACAGAAGAAGCACCGGCUAACUCCGUGCCAGCAGCCGCGGUAAUACGGAGGGUGCGAGCGUUAAUCGGAAUAACUGGGCGUAAAGGGCACGCAGGCGGUUAUUUAAGUGAGGUGUGAAAGCCCUGGG